CCUACGGGACGUAGCAGUGAGGAAUAUUGGUCAAUGGUCGGGAGACUGAACCAGCCAAGCCGCGUGAGGGAUGAAGGUACAGAGUAUCGUAAACCUCUUUUGUCAGGGAACAAAGGCGGGGACGCGUCCCCGGAUGAGUGUACCUGAAGAAAAAGCAUCGGCUAACUCCGUGCCAGCAGCCGCGGUAAUACGGAGGAUGCGAGCGUUAUCCGGAUUUAUUGGGUUUAAAGGGCGCGUAGGCGGAUGUGCAAGUCAGUCGUGAAAUACCGGGGCUCAACCCCGGGGCUGCGAUUGAAACUGCACAA
rnacentral:rRNA from 1 species